UACGAAGGGGACUAGCGUUGUUCGGAAUUACUGGGCGUAAAGCGCACGUAGGCGGAUUUGUUAGUCAGGGGUGAAAUCCCGGGCUCAACCUCGGAACUGCCUUUGAUACUGCAAGUCUCGAGUCCGAUAGAGGUGGGUGGAAUUCCUAGUGUAGAGGUGAAAUUCGUAGAUAUCGGGAGGAACACCGGUGGCGAAGGCGGCAUCCUGGACCGAGAUUGACGCUGAUGCGCGAAAGCCAGGGGAGCAAACGGG
rnacentral:rRNA from 1 species